UCCUUUGACGUUAGCGGCCCCAUGGGUGAGUAACACGUGGGGAACCUACCUAUGGACUGGCCUAACUUCGGGAAACCGGAGCUAAUACCGGAUAAUAUUUCGAACCGCAUGGUUCGAUAGUGAAAGAUGGUUUUGCUAUCACUUAUAGAUGGACCCGCGCCGUAUUAGGUAGUUGGUAAGGUAACGGCUUACCAAGGCGACGAUCCGUAGCCGACCUGAGAGGGUGAUCGGCCACACUGGAACUGAGACACGGCCCAGACUCCUACGGGAGGCAGCAGUAGGGAAUCUUCCGCAAUGGGCGAAAGCCUGACGGAGCAACGCCGCGUGAGUGAUGAAGGUCUUCGGAUCGUAAAACUCUGUUAUUAGGGAAGAACAUACGUGUAAGUAACUGUGCACGUCUUGACGGUACCUAAUCAGAAAGCCACGGCUAACUACGUGCCAGCACCCACGGUAAUACGUAGGUGGCAAGCGUUAUCCGGAAUUAUUGGGCGUAAAGAGCGCGGAGGCGGUUUUUCAAGUCUGAUGUGAAAGCCCACGGCUCAACCGUGGAGGGGCAUUGGUAACUGKMAAACUUGAGUCGCAUGAAGAGGAAAGUGGAAUUCCAUGUGUAGCGGUGAAAUGCGCAGAKAUAUGGGAGGACACACCAGUGGCGAAGGCGWCUUUCUGGUCUGYAACUGACGCUGAUGUGCGAAAGCGUGGGGAUCAMACAGGAUUAGAUACCSUGGUAGUCACACGCYGUAAACKAUGAGUGCUAAGUGUUAGGGGGUUUCCGCUCUUUAGUGCUGCAGCUAACGCAUUAAGCACUCCGCCUGGGGAGUACGACCGCAAGGUUGAAACUCAAAGGAAUUGACGGGGACCCGCACAAGCGGUGGAGCAUGUGGUUUAAUUCGAAGCAACGCGAAGAACCUUACCAAAUCUUGACAUCCUUUGACAACUCUAGAGAUAGAGCUUUCCCCUUCGGGGGACAAAGUGACAGGUGGUGCAUGGUUGUCGUCAGCUCGUGUCGUGAGAUGUUGGGUUAAGUCCCGCAACGAGCCCAACCCUUAAGCUUAGUAGCCAUCAUUAAGUUGGGCACUCUAAGUUCACCCCCGGUCACAACCCGGAGGAAGGGGGGGAUGGCGUCAAAUCCUCAUCCCCCUUAUGAUUUGGUCCACACACGUGCCACAAUGGGCAACACAAAGGGCAGAGAAUCCGAGAGGUCAAGCAAAUCCCAUAAAGUUGUUCUCAGUUCGGAUUGUAGUCUGCAACUCGACCACAUGAAGCUGGAAUCGCUAGUAAUCGUAGAUCAGCAUGUUAGGGUGAAUACGUUCCCGGCUCUUGUCCCCCCCCCCCUUCACUCCACGAGAUUUUUACC
rnacentral:rRNA from 1 species